GAUGAACGCUAGCGACAGGCUUAACACAUGCAAGGUCGAGGGGGCAGGCGGGGAGUAGCAAUACUUCGCCGGUGACCGGCGCGACGGGUGAGUAACACGUGUGCAACCAACCCCGUACCGGGAGAUAACCCGCGGAAACGUGGACUAACAUCCCAUGAUACUCGAGGGCCGCAUGGCUCUCGAUUUAAAAUUCCGGUAGACGAUGGGGAUGCGUUCCAUUAGAUAGUAGGCGGGGUAACGGCCCACCUAGUCUUCGAUGGAUAGGGGGUUCUGAGAGGAAGGGUCCCCCACAUUGGAACUGAGACACGGUCCAAACUCCUACGGGAGGCAGCAGUGAGGAAUAUUGGUCAAUGGGCGAGAGCCUGAACCAGCCAAGUAGCGUGAAGGAUGACUGCCCUAUGGGUUGUAAACUUCUUUUAUAAAGGAAUAAAGUCGGGUAUGGAUACCCGUUUGCAUGUACUUUAUGAAUAAGGAUCGGCUAACUCCGUG
rnacentral:rRNA from 1 species